rnacentral:rRNA from 1 species
AUUGAACGCUGGCGGCAGGCCUAACACAUGCAAGUCGAGCGAGCGGCGGACGGGUGAGUAAUGUCUGGGGACUGCCCGAUAGCGGGGGAUAACUACUGGAAACGGUGGCUAAUACCGCAUACUAUCGGAUAACCCAUAUGGGAUUAGCUAGUAGGUGGGGUAAAGGCUCACCUAGGCGACGAUCUCUAGCUGGUCUGAGAGGCUGAUCAGCCACACUGGGACUGUGAAACGGCCCAGACUCCUACGGAGGCAGCAGGGGGGAAUAGUGCACAAUGGGGGCAAGCCUGAUGCAGCCGUGCGGGGUGUAUGAAGAAGGCCUUAGGGUUGUAAAGUACUUUCAGCGGGGAGGCGUUACCCGCAGAAGAAGCACCGGCUAACUCCGUGCCAGCCGCCGCGGUAAUAC